UGUGGGGAUCUGGCCCUCUCCCGCUUGCAGGUGUGGCUGGCGUACGCGUUGGGAGCGCCUGCUUGCCCCUCCUCCGGGGGGGAAGGACUGGCCGUCGUCCCUGCCCCGGGGGUGCGGGUGCGCCGAGCCCUCGGGAGGCCUGGCUCUGGUGUGGGCUGCGGGGAGAAGGCGCGGGAAGGAAGGAAGGAGGCGAAGCGGUGCGGGAGGGAGGCGGCCGUUGCCAUGGAAGGAGCUGCAAGGCCUCCCUGCAGACCGCGAGCGGAGCCCCCGCACCCCCGGGGCUGGCCCCUGGCCUCCCGCCCCAGCCCGGCCGGCGGCCCCUCCCUGCUCCGCUGUCCGCCUUGGGUACAGAAGCGGCGAGUGGCCCCUUUCCAGGAGGCCUGUUUACCAGCACGACAACGGCAAAUUAGUGCGCUUAAGAGGCAUUCGGCGUUUAUCCCGGCAAACAUGCGCAGCGUGAAGGGGGCCUGCGAGGCCUGCUCCCCGGAAUCUGCUGAAAUGGGGUCUGCUGUGCAUCUUAAUCGACUUACUUCCACCCAUCACAUUAAACGCAUUUAAUCUACUCUUGCAAAUGGCUAAUUUUGAAAAUCCGCUUAUCAGAAUUAGGUCCUC
rnacentral:lncRNA from 1 species